AUGUCUGUCCCCAACUCACACGCCUUCCAUAUGUUGAUUGAGAUCCACAGGGAAUCAAGAUGGCGCUCCCAGACACUGGUGCAGCCCACAGGCAUUCCUGGGAUGAAAUGUGUAAAGCUUUCCAGACUUGGCAGAAGGAAGCUACAGUUAAAUGACGUGAUUGGUUUCCAAAGAAAAUGCCUGAGCUUCUUCUCAGCUCUGUGGGUACCUUUUAUAGCCCAGCAAACCAUUGACAGAAACUGAGAGAAUAGCUUUGAGGGAGACAAAAGGAAAAUGUGAAGGGAAUAUAGGAAAGGUCAGCCACAGGACCCUGCCCACUGUUGGGUCUCUCUCUGGAGUCAGUAUUGAAUUUUCCAUUAAUUAGAGCUGUCUGUUUAUCUUGGACAGACAGUGGAGUUUAACCUUUUUCUCUUACAUGUUGUAAAAAUAAAUCCCAAAUGAGGUAUUCUCUGAUAAAAUUCUUAUCUAUUAUUAAUGGUAGAAAAGUUUUCUGAAUAUAAUACUUGCUUUUUCAUAUGGCAUUUUAAGCAGAAUAAAAUGAGACUUUGUCUACAAAGUGAAAUUAGCUCUUUUAACAUCUUCUAGCUUACUGACUGUCUUAGUCACUUUUCUUGUUGCUUAGACAAAGUACCUGACAUCCAGUGUUAAAAGAGGAAAGAUUUAUUGUAGCUCACAGUUUGCAGAGGUUUCAGUUCAUAGUUGGCAGGCUCCAAGGCAGGGUGGGAUGACAGGAGGGCAUCACAAAGGAGAAUCCAGCAAAGCAGUGAAGCAGUGAGGCAGCAAGCAACAAGAAACCCUCUUUCUGUCCCUUGCUUCUUAUCCAGGCUACACACCCUUAGAGAGGUAGAGCUCAGACCCAGGGUGUGGCAGCCUUUUCCUAGCAUCCCACCAUGAAUCAAUCCCAUGUCACAUCCUUGAUCCCAGCACCACACACCCUAGAUCCAGCCACCUCUAAAAGUCCCAUUAUGACCAAAGUCCCAUUUAUGAGGCUUUGGGGGGACAUCUACAUAUAAGCCAUGACACUGACUCUAAAUAUUUCAUGUGAAUGAAUAAUUUCAUGAGAGAAGGAAGCAAUGAAGGAAAUUUGCAUAGUUCAGAAUGUUCUCCUUUACAUAACCUAAUUUUUUAAAAACAUAGAUAAACAUGUUAUUCUGUCAUAAGAUUGCAUAUUCAGUGGGUAAUUUUAACUUCUCUACCACAGUGUAGAAGUACAGAAGAAAUGUAGUUUGAAGUUUUUAUUGUUUUUGUUUUAUAUAUCAAGUUAUAUAUCAAGGGGAAAAAACAAGAGUUAAGAGUGAGGAUUUGAGAAACACUUCAUUUACCAGGUACUCAGAGGGAGAAAGAUGUGGAGGUCUUAGAACUCCAAAGCUGGAGAAUAUUUCUAAAGAGGUUUCAUUGGGAAGAUGAAAUAAACAGGAGGUGAUGUAAGAAAACUGACCAAGUUCCAUAUCAGAAAAUGCACAUUCACAUAGCACCAACUGCAUUCUAGGGUGCCUGGGGCAUGCAGAGAUAUGGCAGGGAAAAUGAAGGUUAAUGAGAUGUAUCAGACUUACCAAGGGGGAAAUUUCAACUCACAUUUUGAAGAAGGCAAUGUAUCUGAAGUAGACUGUAACCUGGACCCAUUCUAAAUAGACAGAAUAAUAACAUAGAGGGGCAAAAUUAGAACAAGUUAAGUACAGGAAAUGAGGUGAACAAUCAAAAUGGGAUGGAAAAGUGAUUCUGAGAAAAAGGUUAAAAAACAUAAGAUGCAGUUAGCAGGAUAGGAGGUGGAUGGAAUAGCAGCAGACUACCCAUACUUGCAUGAGAAAGGCAAAUUAUAUGCUAAACAAGAGGAAUCCCUGGAAAAGUCUUAAGGAAAAUGGUUGCAUGGAUUAAAUAUACUUUACAGGUUUAAAAAAAAGUGCUGGGUAAACUGAAGAAUGCAAGAGAUUAUUUCUUUCUGCCAAAUGGCAACAGUGAAUGCCUCCAGGAGUCUGCCACCAUCACUGUUGGGAUAUAAAAGGGCCCAAGAGAAAAUGAAAGAUGUAUUUCAGAUAUAGCCCCAGAAAAAAAUAUAAUGGAAUCUAAUAAUGGGUUAUCUCUGCUGGAGUCAGAGAAAAGAGAACAACUAAAAUAAAUCUAUGAUUUUUGAGUCCAGGGAACCAGGAAGAAGCUACAAUGGAAAAUGACCAAAUAUUGUGAAUUUCCAAACUAAUGAGUUUUUACUGAGCACCAUCUUGUAGAGGGCACAGCCCUAAACAUUAUGUGUGGAUCAAAAAUAUAUAGGGGCUAGCAUUAUUUUCUUGCAUAACUACUGGGCAGUGGGAUUCCUGGUAGUAUGUGCAAUGACUUUUGUUAUGGUUUGUAUCAAGAUGUCCCCCCAAAUCCUCAUAGAAGGGGCUUUUGGGAGGUGACUGGGUCAUGGAGGUGUGAUACUCAUCAGUGGAUUAGUUCACUGAGAGUUUAUAGCUAAGUGUGAUCUUGGGAGGUAGAGCCUGGUUGGAGGAAGUGGAACACGGGGUGCAUGAACUGGAAGGGUGGAUCUCCCUCCUCCUCCCUUGAUCUCUGUCUCCUUCCUGAUGGCCAUCCCAUGAGCUGUUUUUUCCUCUACCAAGCCCCUCCCGUGCUACCCUGCCUUGGAGCCAGCCAUCUAGAUUUGAAACCUUGACAAACGGUGAGCCAAAAUAAACCUUUCUUCCUUAGAGUUGGGGUAUCAAUUAUUGAGUCUCAGUAAUAAGAAAAGUAACUAAGACAAGUUUAUAUAUGCAUAUGUAAUAAUAAACUGUCACUACAAUAGUGAGAAAGAUAUAACUCCAAGACUAACCCUCUGAUUUGAAUUUUUAUUUACUAUAGUGCCUCAGUUAUUCCAGGAAGAAGUUUUUGUACUUCAUGCCUUAAAUAGCGCGCUCCUUAUACCAUGUUACAUAGAAAUCUUGAAACUAACACUCUGAUGUACCUUUCUUUACAGAACUGGAAAUAAGUAUCCAACCCACAGCUAUUAUAUAACCCAUACUUUAAAGUAAUUAGAACAAACAGGCAAAUCAAUACAAGGUCUUGUAUUUACAAAAUCACUGGCUACAUAGUCAAUACAGUUUCUUGUGAAAUAAGGACAAGCCACAAUGACAUUUUAGUGGGAUUUUUUUUUUACAUAACUUGAAUUCUUAUUUCUUUGUGCUUACUCUGGUGAAAACACCACAUAAUAUUUAAGAAUAUCAGCAAAGAAUAUGAUUUUCCUCUUGCCAUUGUGUUUGUAUUCUAAGCUUUGUUCAAAUCAACUACUCUGUGGUAACUGAAAUGUCUGAAGCUUCAGUAGCUCUAUUUUUAGCAACAAGGUAAGCUAUUCCCAUACCCUGAACUUCUCCAAAUGUUAAAAGUUGCUAAAUGUAUCUCAUUAACACCAGAAUUUGCUUUUGACUUUUGCCUCAAAUUAUGUAGUUUCUUAUGGUCAAGUCCUAGAGAGGAUUCACAUUCACUUCUUCUGUGAAUGGCUUGCUAAGAUAAAACUCUCAUUUGUUUGUAAAUUUAGCUAGUUGUGGUUGAACAAAUACAGGAACUCCUAUAAUAUACAUAUUAUUCAGUCCUGGAGCCGUGUGGGGGAGGAAAAGCAGUAGUCACCAUGAUAGAGCUUGAUAAAUGUUGUGACUGCAGUUGAUGAGCUACUGAGACAAGGAAAAGAUGCCAGUUGUCCAGUCCAGGUACACAGGAGCCAUGGUUUGACUCAGAGUUUAAUGGCCACUGCGAGAGCAUGAGAACAUGGCACUUUUAAGAGGUAGGUAGGUCCUGGGGAACCUUCCUCUUGAACACAUUGAGGCCAGUACUGUUAUGGUUUAAGGCCACUGCGGG
rnacentral:lncRNA from 1 species